AGUAAGUCUGAAUAAAUACAUCUAUGUGAUGCUGUGUUUCCAAAUAAUCUCUGCAUUGGAAAGCACCAGUGGUGGCAUGUUAAGAGGAAAAACAAGUGGAACGAGGAUAGACAUGUAAAAAGAGAGUGCGGUUUCAUUGCUGUGAAGAGCAAUCAGAUCAGGCUUUUUUUUUUUUUUUAAAGCAGUGGCUAAGCUAAACAUUUUGGACUGGACUGGCCCAACUGGGGCCCCGAAUUAUGUAGGGGUGGCCUGAAGCAAAGUUAUUACCAUAUUGGUCCGAAUAUAAGACGGCCUUUUUCCCCAUCGAAAUAGGUCCGAAAAAGUCGGGUCGUCUUAUAUUCGGGGUCUAGUAUUCAGAGCGCAGCUCUAAUUGUUCGCCUGUCCCUUUAAAUGUCAAUACACAUGACGCGCUCUUGGAGGAGCAGGGGAGCGAUGACAGUGAGAGCGAACACAGCGGGGCGGAGUACGUGUGUGAGGAAUAGGAGACAUCGGAGGAGAAGUUUGGCGAGCUUUAGUUUAGUUAAAGAUGUGGCCUGUAUUUUCUCUGUUAUUUAAAAAUGUUGAUAAUAUUGCUUGAUUUUAAUUUUGAAUCAUACUGUACAUAUUUUGACCUUGUGAAAAACUUUGUUUUGAAAAGUGCCGUAGCAUAUAACGAUAAAGAGGCCUACGUUUAUUAUUGUUAUCAUUAUUACAACAACAGGUGUUUAAUUCAAUGUGUUUUUAAUAUUGGGGAGCGAUGAGAGCGAACACAGCGGGGCAGAGUGUGUGUGUGAGGAAUAGAGCGGAGACAUCAGAGGAGAAGUUUGGUGAGUUUUAGUUUAGCGGUAGUUUAGUUAAAAGUGUUGCCUGUAUUUCCUCUGUUAUUUCAAAAUGUUAAAAACAUGUAGAUAAUAUUGCUUGAUUGUUAAUCGAUUUUAAUUUUGAAUCAUACGGUACAUAGUUCGCCCUUGUGAAACACUUUGUUUUGAAAAGUGCCGUAGGUCUAUACCGAUAAAUACGGUAUGUUAAUUAUUAUUAUAAUUAUUAAUACAACAGGUGUUUAAUUCAAUGUGUUUUUAGUAUUGUUAUUUUCAAAUAAAAUUAAGUUCUUUAAAAAAAGUUCUUUAUAAAAACAA